GGAGGGUGCAAGCGUUGUUCGGAAUAACUGGGCGUAAAGAGCACGUAGGCGGGCUCAUAAGCCAAUUGUGAAAGCCCGGAGCUCAACUCCGGAAUUGCAGUUGGAACUGUGAGUCUUGUAUGCUUGAGAGGGUGAGGGAAUUCCUGGUGUAGAAGUGAAAUUCGUAGAUAUCAGGAGGAACACCGGAGGCGAAGGCGCUUACCUGGCAAUGCAUUGACGCUGAGGUGCGAAAGCGUGGGGGGAGCAAACAGGAUUAGAUACCCUGGUAGUCCACGCCGUAAACGAUGGAUACUAGGUGUCCGGAUGAUUAACCGUCUGGGUACCAAAGCUAACGCAUUAAGUAUCCCCGCCUGGGAGUACGGUCGCAAGGCUA
rnacentral:rRNA from 1 species